AACGGCCGCGGUAUCCUAACCGUGCGAAGGUAGCGUAAUCACUUGUUCUUUAAAUGAGGACUAGUAUGAAUGGCACCACGAGGGUUAAACUGUCUCCUUUUUUUAAUCAGUGAAACUAAUCUCCCCGUGAAGAAGCGGGGAUUCUUUUAUAAGACGAGAAGACCCUAUGGAGCUUUAAACAAGUUAACACCUGCUACUAAUCNNUUCACUUUCCUGAACCACCACAUUAAGUAUAGCACCUCUGAUUAACAGUUUUCGAUUGGGGUGAUCAUGGAGCAAAAAUCAACCUCCACGACGAAAAGGAACACCUCCUUGAGCCAAAAGCUACAACUUUAAGCACUAAAAAACUAACGCACUUUGACCCAAUUCUUUGAGCAACGAACCAAGUUACCCUAGGGAUAACAGCGCAAUCCACUUUAAGAGCUCCUAUCGACAAGUGGGUUUACGACCUCGAUGUUGGAUCAGGGUAUCCCAGUGGUGCAGCCGCUACUAAAGGUUCGUUUGUUCAACGAUUAAAACCCUACGUGAUCUGAGUUCAGACCGGAGUAAUCCAGGUCAGUUUCUAUCUAUAAAGAGCUUUUUCUAGUACGAAAGGACCGAAAAAGCAUGGCCUAUAACCCAUCAAGCCAUAUAAAUUACUAUUGUUCCCAACUUAAAUAGAAGUAAACCUACCACUUAUCUCGAUAAAAGAGAAGUUAACGUAGCAUAACCUGGCCUUGCAG
rnacentral:rRNA from 1 species